UACAGAGGGGGCAAGCGUUAUUCGGAAUUAUUGGGCGUAAAGGGCGCGUAGGCGGCCUUCUAAGUCAGACGUGAAAUCCCCCGGCUUAACCUGGGAACUGCGUCUGAUACUGGGGGGCUUGAGUAUGGGAGAGGGAUGCGGAAUUCCAGGUGUAGCGGUGAAAUGCGUAGAUAUCUGGAGGAACACCAGUAGCGAAGGCGGCUCGCUGGGCCGUUCCUGACGCUGAGACGCGAAAGCUAGGGGAGCGAACAGG
rnacentral:rRNA from 1 species